GAUGAACGCUGGCGGCGUGCCUAACACAUGCAAGUCGAGCGAGAUGUAUAUGGACGAAACUUCGGUCUAGGAAAUAUAUUGACAGCGGCGGACGGGUGAGUAACGCGUAGGCAACCUGCCCCAAACACAGGGAUAGCCGCGGGAAACCGGGAUUAAAACCUGAUAAUGCCAAAUAGUCCCAUGGCUGUUUGGCCAAAGAUUUAUCGGUUUGGGAUGGGCCUGCGUCUGAUUAGUUUGUGGGUGGGGUAACGGCCUACCAAGACUACGAUCAGUGGCCGACCUGAGAGGGUGAUCGGCCACAUUGGAACUGAGACACGGUCCAAACUCCUACGGGAGGCAGCAGUGGGGAAUAUUGCACAAUGGGCGAAAGUCUGACGCAGCGACAUCGCGUGUGGGAUGACGGCCCUCGGGUUGUAAACCACUUUUUGGGAGUCAUGAAGGCGCCCAGAAUAAGGAACUACUAACUACGUGCCAGCAGCCGCAGUAA
rnacentral:rRNA from 1 species